GGAAACGUACUUCUUGGAUUAACUUUGUGUGAUGUACAUAUGUCACGCCCAAGAUGCAACCCUAUCCUACAGGAACUCGAAGGUCCCACCAAGGAUAGAAGCGCAUCUUGAAGAUGCUUAUGCAAGGUGGAUAUCAUUACAUCAACAUUACAUAAUAGAUGGGGAUACAUACAAGGCAUACAAAUGCCGCAAGAAUACGUCCAUACAUCAUACAAAAGAUCAACAUCCGACUACGGAUGAAACACAAACAGAAGCUCAAACGACAUCCACCCUGCUAGCCCAGGCUGCCGACCUGGAACCUAUCCCCUGAUCGAAGAAGAAGCAGAAGAAGGACUCCAAAACAGGUAACAUCGCUCUCGCGUCAUGAUCAUCGCAUAACCUGUACCUGCAACUGGUGAUGUAGUAAUCUGUGAGCCACGAGGACUCAGCAAUCCCAUUACCAUGGGUAUCAAGACUAGCAAAGCUUAAUGGGUAAGGAAGGGGGUAAAGUGGUGGGGGUUGCAGCAGCGGCUAAGCAAUGUAUGUUGGCUAACUUACGCGAAUAAGAGUGAGAAGAGAAGCAAUGGAACGGUCGUGAGACUAGCAACGAUCAAGAAGUGAUCCUGAACUCCUACUUACGUCAAACAUAACCCAGAAACCGUGUUCACUUCCUGGACUCCGCCGAGAAGAGACCAUCACGGCUACACACACGGUUGAUGCGUUUUAAUUAAGGUCAAGUGUCAAGUUCUCUACAACCGGAUAUUAACAAAUUCCCAUCUGCCACAUAACCGCGGGCACGGCUCUCGAAAGUUUAUACCCUGCAGGGGUGUCCCAACUUAGCCCAUUAUAAGCUCUCACGGUCAAUGAAGGAUAUUCCUUCUCCCAGGAAGACCCGAUCAGUCUCGGAAUCCCGGUUACAAGACAUUUCGACAAUGGUAAAACAAGACCAGCAAAGCCGCCCGGAUGUGCCGACAAAUCCCGAUAGGAGCUGCACAUAUCUCGUUCUCAGGGCACACCGGAUGAGCCAAACGUCGGGUUGGCAUAGACCCUGGUUGCCUAGGGGGCGCCUGACAUCACUCAUUUUGGACCAGCACUCGAAGGCGCACUGGCCCGGGGGGUAAAUAAAGAUGACCCUCGGGCUCCAGAAACCCAAGGGAAAAAGGCUAGGUGAGGCAAAUGUAAAACAAAGGUUGGGCCUUGCUGGAGGAGUUUUAUUCAAAGUGAACUGUCAAGGGGGUCCCAUAAAUCACCCAACCGCGUAAGGGAUGCAAAAUCAAGGAACAUAACACCGGUACGACGGAAACUAGGGCGGCAAGAGUGGAAUAAAACACCAGGCAUAAGGCCGAGCCUUCCACCCUUUACCAAGUAUAUAGAUGCAUUAAUUAAAUAAGAGAUAUUGUGAUAUCCCAACAUAAACAUAAUCCAACAUGGAGCAAUCUUCAUCUGCAACUGGCAACGCUAUAAGAGGGGCUGAGCAAAGCGGUGACAUAGCCAAACAACGGUUUGCUAGGAAGGGUGACAAAGGUUAGAGGAGGUUUCAUGGCAAUUUGGGCGGCUUGAAGAGCAAGUGAAUAGGUAGCGCAGCAAAGCGAUAGAACGAAGCAACUAGCAUAGCAAUGAUAGUAGUGAGAUCCAAGGUGACGGUCAUCUUGCCUGAAAUCCCGCUAGGAAGAAGAACGAGCCCAUGAAGAAGAUGAAGCCACGAAGACGAAGGAAUCCUCACGAUCGCAACGACACGGGAACUAUCAAGAAGGAGCACACAACAAGGUAAACACACAACACAUAACAAGGCAUGAUGCUUAACCAAGUAUGAUGCAUGACAAGGCUACAUGAAGCUACUCAUGACAAGAGAUGGUGCAUACAAGAACAACACAUCAAAGCAAGUUUAAAUGAGGCCGGAAACAACAUAUAACAAAUCCGGUAAGUCCUCAUAUGCAAAUUUCGAAAUUGGUCCGGAUCUGAAUAAACCUUAUGUUGAAGUUGUCAAACAGCAAGUUAAAGAGUACCAUGAUGAUCUACACGAAAUUCUAGUCAAGUUUCAUAUAAAGUUCAUUAGAUUCGGAGCUACGGUCUAGAAGAUAUGAGCAAAACAAGUUAAACAUGGCAUUGAUGCAAAAUGCAUUCGAACAUCAAGCAAACACCUCAACACAAGGAUGCAACCAGAUAAUAUGGAACUACAUGCAAUUCUAAGCAAGUUACAUAUAGAGCACACCCCAAACGGAGCAACGGUGCAACACAUACACUCCAAACAAGAUAUAACAACAAUCUGUCCAAAACAGCAACUAGGCAUAGUGCAAGCAUCAUAAAAAUAUACUACCGCACCUCAACAUGAAACAAAUGACAUGGGAAUAAUGUACAUGUAAAGCAAAACAAAACAUGAACACUGAGCUAUCUCCAGAAACCACUAGAACAUGCUAAAAGGACAUUGCAAGAUUGCAAAUAAUAACAGUUUCACAGACUUAGCAGAAAUCACUGGGCAUGGCAGAAAUAACAUCAGGUUGCAAAGUUUGGAGCUGUCAAACAACAUGCUACAGGAGCUUAUCAUGGCAAAUGAAAGCAUGGUAUGAUUCUACUCAAAGCAUGUAACAAAUGUCCCUUAGUGAACAUGAGCCAAAAAGGCACAGAAGAUAUGAUGGCACCCAUGUAAACAUAGCAAGAUUCAUAAACAGAUUCAGACAAGAAAAAAACAGAGCAUGGUAGGAAUAACGAUAAGUAGGCAUGUUGGUGAGCUUGCACCACUCCCCACAGAGCAAUACAUGGCAUGACAAGGUAACCAGAAGUAAGAAGGCAUAAAUAUGAAGCUAAGAAUGGCAAUAGCAUAGUCAUAGGGUACAUGGAUCACUAGUAACAACCAUGGCAAAAUUGAUUAACAUGUAAGCAACCUGCCAGGAACAUUUUAUAGCAGAAGUAGAGCAAGAUUACGACAAUCGACAGCAGGUUAUAAAUGCAAACAAGGGCAUGUAUGGAUAGGGCAUAACAUGUAUAACAAAACAUCCUUAGUGAACAUCUCCGGAUUAUGCAUAGAAUGACUUGUAGCAGCAGGUUUACAUGGCAACAAAAUAUAACAGACUCGGCAACAUCACGGAGGCUACUUUGCAUGCUUGUGCUAGUCACCACAUCGAUCACAAAAAUACAAGACAAGCACCACUGUCAAGAUGGCAUGAUGUAGAACAAAACACAUGUAAAGCUCAUGCUCAUAGGAUGCACACACAAAAAUGCAAUGAAAACGACAAAUCACCAAGUUCUGAUAACAGACAGCAGUUACCAACAUAUAGCACUCUUGCGACGAUGAUUAGGGUAUCAAUAUGAACUCUAAUAAACAUGACCCAAUGGAACAAAAUGAAGAGCAUCUCAUGAUGAACAUUUUGAUAUAUUAUAUGCAUGAAUCGGAGCACCGAGCACGAAGUUAUGACAUGGCAAAUAUGUCAACAUGAGAUGCAAAUCCUGGGACUUAGAGAGAUCUUUACCCCGCGAAAGACUGGACGAGGGGAUGCGGGACGGAGGGAACCCGGACGGGCGGAGGUGCGUUUGGAUCACGGGAAGGGUGGAUCUCGUCGACCCGCCCGGAUCUGGCGACGAGGCGACGCCGGCGAAGCUCCGGCGAGCUCCGGUGAACGGGGACGGGCGGCAGGGGCGGAUCUGGCCCCAGGGCGNNNNNNNNNNNNNNNNNNNNNNNNNNNNNNNNNNNNNNNNNNNNNNNNNNNNNNNNNNNNNNNNNNNNNNNNNNNNNNNNNNNNNNNNNNNNNNNNNNNNNNNNNNNNNNNNNNNNNNNNNNNNNNNNNNNNNNNNNNNNNNNNNNNNNNNNNNNNNNNNNNNNNNNNNNNNNNNNNNNNNNNNNNNNNNNNNNNNNNNNNNNNNNNNNNNNNNNNNNNNNNNNNNNNNNNNNNNNNNNNNNNNNNNNNNNNNNNNNNNNNNNNNNNNNNNNNNNNNNNNNNNNNNNNNNNNNNNNNNNNNNNNNNNNNNNNNNNNNNNNNNNNNNNNNNNNNNNNNNNNNNNNNNNNNNNNNNNNNNNNNNNNNNNNNNNNNNNNNNNNNNGGGCCCCGCAGGCCUGACGCGGGCCGAGCGGGCUGACGGCGGUGGGCUGAGGAGGAGGCCACGUGGCGCAACGUGGUUGGCUGCGGGCGGCGACGGGAUCCGUCCGGCGCGGGGCGGACAUGUCCGGCGGCGAGAGGGAGGGGAAGGCUAGGGUUCAUCCGUGAAAUUUCGGGGGAGGUGCAAAUAUAUAGGCAGAGGGAGCUAGGAGAGUCCAAACGGGGUGCGGUUUUCGCCCAUACAAUCGUGAUCAAACAACCGAGAGCAUGGAGGGGAGUUUGCUGGGUUAGUGGACUGAUUUGGAGGGGUGUUGGGCUGCAAAGAGAGAGGGGUUUCGGGCUACGCGGUUAACCGCUGGGGCAUCAAACGAACUCCAAAUGGAACGAAAUUUGACGGGCGGUAUACCGGUGCUAUACCAAGGCCACUCGGCAAAUCUCGGCCCAUUCCGAGAACGUUUUUCUCCCACUCACGAAACAAGGUCUGAGAGGGGCGACGGGCGCGUGCGAGAGUGUUGGAUCGCGAAACGGACAACGGGGAAAAGGACCGGAUGCAAGUUUUGAAAAACAUGAUGAUGCAAUGCAGAUGAUGACAUGGCAAAAUGCAACACGCAAGCACAUGACAUGGCAAGGACGGCGAAUAACUGGCAGACACCUGGUGCAUCGGAUCCAGGGCGUUACAACACUCCUCCACUAAUAAGAGAUCUCGUCCCGAGAUCUUAGGACCGAGACGGAAGGAAAAAGGGAUGAGGUGAAAUAAGAACAAAACAGUGAGGAUGAACAACAUCAAGAACACUCGAGAAGAAGAGAGGGACGACGAGAAUGACGAGAAUCAAAUGCUCAUGAAAUCAGAUAGUGUCGUGGAAUUAACACGUCAGAUGUCCUAGGUGUAAGGACUUAGUUGUGAGGCCAACGCAUCUUUGUAGUAGCUUGAGAGGGGUUGAGCGGAAUCGAGAGACGCAACACAAGACAAGGAUUUAGACAGCUUCGGGCCCCGGGAAACAUCAUCCGGUAACAACCCUACAUGUUGUUUGAGGCUAGGUCUCAUUAUGAUCAUGGGAGAGUCGUCGGGAACCGGCUCUCGGUCUCUAGCCCUAGAGAUUGUUUCUUGUUACCUUUUUUUCCUCUUGGGGAGCCCUGCCCCUCCUUAUAUAAGUUAGAGGGGCGGGUUACAUGUGGAGUCCCAGUAGGACUACGACUAGUCUAUCUUCUCUUACAAGUUAAUUAUAAGUCCGGGUCUUGCUUCCUCGUAAAGGAAAUAUUCGUCAUCCCUUUCCUCUUAAUCUGGCCCAUCAUAACGUGAGCCGGCCUUCUGGGCCCUUGGCCUAGUCUUCUAUCUGACCCGUCGUCGGGGUCAUCCGUGAGUCGUCAGGCUCAUGAAUCGUCUGACAGUGAGCCACCAGACCCGUGAGUAGCCAGUCCUCCGGCGGGUCACGGUGAAGCGCCAAGUCCGGCCGGGUCAUACUUCCGGCCGGGUCAUACCGCGGGGUAUAUCCCCGACAUUAGCCCCCAGUUUAAUUUGGAUUUAUCCAUGUUAAACUAAUCUGCAAUAUAAUCACAAGAACAAAUUUGACAGGUUGUGUUCCAGGUUAAAUAUUCUUUGUAAGCCGGCACUUGAUCAUCCUUAAGUCCUUGUCAUCUUCCUUCUUGAUAUGUAUCCAUAAUCUCAUAGAAAAUCUUUUUAGCAGAUAUGUUCAAAUUUUGCCAAUGCAAAAAAUCCAGAUACUUCCUUUGAAAAAUCCGGGUCAACAGGCCAGCUUCAGAGUCAACUUGCUGACAUUGGUCUCUUGUUGAGAAAUAUUGUAAGAGAUAAUCCACUUGAGUCGGCUUUCAAUGCUCUGACUUGACAAAAAUAUUGGUCUUCAAAUAUUCAACUUAUAUUCAUCCGGCUUAAAGAUAUAAAACUUGCCGGUUUAUGAGUACCAAAAUUGCCGGGUUAUAAAUAGAUGAUGCCAAGUCAUAACUGUCGCCGACUCCGGUUUAUGAUUUUUGCAGACACCAGGUCAAUCUAAUUUACUCAAAACUGAGAAUUUGAAGAUAUUUCUCCCUUAUAUCCAUAUUACCUGUAGCCCCCAAGGGCCGGUUUAAUCAGCAUGAAUAAGACGGGACUUAUCACCAUGGCUUUAAAUAAAAUCCAGUUGUGUAGCCCCCAUGAGUCGGCUAUAGCCAUAGUAGUGUAGCCGGGUCAUCCUAGAAUUGUCUUGAAUUGUUGCCAGGAGCAAUUGGUAGCCCCCAAGGGCCGGCUCAUUACGAUGUGAUGAUUCGGGUCUUCAAUGAAGUGAGCAAAAAAUGACUUUGCAUUAGCCCCCAAGUGCCAUGGUGCAUGCUGGCAGUGACAUGGGACUUGCAUAUUUGAUGUAAUCUCAACUUGAAUAAUGUAGCCCCCAAGUGCCGGGGUGUAAGCCUGCAGCGACUCGGGACUAUUCCUUCCGUUGUAGAAUAAAUCAUAUCCAUUGAUAAAAUAAUUGCGCUGAAGCGACUUUGAAAACCUCAACCAUAAUAUUAGUUUCUGAUAACCAUAAUAAAAAUCCAGCCAUGUUGGCUAUUAAAGAUUUGACUAACCCGGUUUGAAAACCUCAAUCAUUCAAAUCAUAAUGAAAAUCCAGCCAAGUUUGGCUAUUUAAAGAUUUCAAAUACCUUAUCUGUUGACAAGUAAAUCCGGAGUUUAAAUACCCGGCGGCUCUUGGCCGAUGGCGAUUUAUUACGCCUCCAUUGUAAGCCGGAAAUUUUAUAACCCGACUAUUUAUAGCCUUUUGAGAAAAUCAAGAAUUGAUAACCCUUUUGAGACACCAAUGUCAAUCUUUCGACGAUGGGCUUGGACUUAAACAUUUAUAUAAGUCAUAGUUCUGCAAAUCCUGCAUAGAGUUUAAACAACAUACGCCCUGGCGACUUAAUGUCAAAAGCCAUGGCGGGUAACUACCCAAAUGUAGUCUUAUCCUGCACACAAGUAGAUCACAAGAAACCUUGGCGGUUUACCGCAGGGCGGGUCAUAAUAUCUUACAUAUGACCACGGAUGUGUAAAAAAGGAGUCACAGAUAAGCCUGUUAUGAAUCAUAACUUUGAAACAUAACAAUAAUAUCAUACUUGUGAUAUUGAAUUUGCAUUUGUCGGUUUAUAUGACCUGCACAAUAAGGGUGAUAACCUAAUCUUUGAUACGCGCAUGAUUCCAAUGGCGCAAUUCAAAACAUACCGGCGGCUUAAAGUCCAUAGCCAGGGCUAGUUUAAACAUAAUUAUGUCUAAACAAUAUCAUACCUGUGAUAUUGAACUGUACCGCCGGCUUAUGAUACCUGUGCAGUAAGUGUGAUAACCCAAUCCUUAGAAGCCAAUGCUUCCACAUAGAUGAUGAUUGUCACAAGCCGGUGACUUAUCAUCGAAAAUCAAGCCGGGUUUAAAUAGAAACCACUCAUAUACACUUUAGAUGUGUUCAAAAGAGCUUCAAAUAAAAUCCCAAAAAUUAUUUGCAAAAAGAAACUUCAAAAAAUCUUGAGGCUUCUGAUUCGAAUACGAUUAGAAAACCGUCCCAAAGGGGUUAAGCUAAGAUUCGAAUACGAUCAUAUAGCCCCCAGUGGCUUUGGCGUUGCCGAUCAAGAGGGUACCGACAGCUAUGUUCUCUUUGGUUCGAAUACGACCUAUGUUUGAACAGGAAGCCCCCAAAUGACCUUGAGAGUUGUUUAACGACGCUGAUUCGAAUACGAUCCACGUCGGUUCCCAAAGGGGGUUGAGCUAUGGUUCAAAUAUGACCAAGAAACUCCCCAAUGAGCUCGGCAGUGUGCCGAUCAAAAGGGUAUUGACAGCUAUGUUCUCUUUGGUUCGAAUACGACCUAUGUUUGAACAGGAAGCCCCCUAGUGAUCAUGAGAAUAUUUAACAACUCUGAUUCGAAUACGAUCAGGGUCACACCAAAAGGGUUAAACUAAAUUCGAAUACGAUCAGCUCCCAAUGGUCAUUAAAGCAGGGUACCUAUAUUUGAGUUGUGCUUUGUAACAGACUCUCUUUGGUCCCUUUAAUUUUUCUGAGAACUCGAACUUUGCGAGAGACAACCUCUUUUUGAACGGGAAAUUUGUAAACCAGAUAUUGAGAGCUUCAAAGCUUUAUAAGAUAUAAAUUUACCUUGAGCCGGAUGUUUGAACCGGAUUUGAAAGCUUCAAAACUUUGCGGGAGAGAGAUAUCUCUUGAACCGGAUUUUAAACCGGAAUUUUUAUUUUGAACCGGCAAUUUUCUGACGGCCUUUAAAUUUUCAUCAAUAUGGUAGCAGCCUCCGGAACCGGGUUAUCAUUCCCUCCAACGACCCGGGGUUCCCGAGUCAUGUCACUGUAGCCCCCGAGUCUCAAGAUGACUCGAGGAGUUGGUUUGAGAUUCUCCAUAUUUAACCGUGAUAUAAGACCGGCAUAACUUGUAUAUCAUUGGUGUUGAUAGCACGAUGUGUAUCCACAGAAGGUUGAGGUGACUGCGGCGGGUUAUAAAUGAUCCUGUAUGAGCCGUGUCAGCAACUCGGCCAAUGGUUCCUUCCAACUGGCUGUUUGAAGUUCAACCAAACUGUAGUGACGGCGACUUGUGCGCAUGUCCAUUGAGCCAUCCAGUGCAGACGGCGGUUGAUAGUAUAUGAUAAUUUGCCUCCAUUUUCUUGAAAGAAAACUGGGCUACCCAAGCUGUGACUUGCUCAUACUCAUAAACAGCUAAUGCUGACGGGUGCGGCCCGGUGUGUUGAUGUAGACUAGGCCGCGAGAGACGGGCGGCAAAGACGACCGCGGCUUCAGAGGCGGCACAGACACACGAUUCGGCCGCGGUAUUGUAAACCGGCGUGGACGGGCGAAUUAGCCACGUCAUAUUGAUGUAAACCGGUCUACAGAAUGGCGGUUUGCACAUAUAUUCAUCGAGCUUGAUGGCAUGAUAAGAUACUAGCGCAUUUCUAAUGGUAGCGCGAGUUUAUACAUCCGUGACACAGCCAUAGCUUUUGCAGUGAACAAUUGUCCUGCAUAACAAUAUUGCAGACCAAGGCAAAGGUAAACUAUUCUUUUGACAAAAAUAAUAUGUGCUAAAAAUAUAUUUUAGAUAGAUAUCACCUGAUGUGUUUAGGCCAAAAAUAAUCCGCCAUGAAGUUGAUGAUCACUAGGUGAAACUGAAAUCAAUCACGGCCGAGCCGGCCGCGGGAGCAGACAUAUGAGCCGGCCGCGGUGUUGUAAGCUGGUGGGGACGAGCAAGUUGUCCUCUUUGUUGUAAGCCGGCGCGGAUGCGUGAACUGGCCGCGAGAGCGGACGGGCGAGUCGUCCACGGCGUUGUAAGCCGGCGUGGUCGCGAGAAACGGCCACGGCGUUGCAAGCCGGCGCGGUCGCGAGAGACGGCCACGGCGUUGUAAGCCGGUGCGGGAGUCCGUUUGAGUAACGACAACCACCUGUGCCAAAAGAUGUUGGCAUGCCUCCAUCUCCGCGGUAUAAUAUUACUUUGUAAUAAAUAAUUCUCCUGCAUGUAAAAACAGCAGGGCAAAGUAUUUUUGCUCGGAUGAAUUAAUACGUGCUUAAAAAUAAAUAGGGUAAAUAGCACCUGAUUUUUGUCCAGACGACAGAUGAUCCUUUUCGCGGAUCAAAAUUUCACUCAUGGUGCCGGUUGAUCUUUAUCCACUUCCUUUAAACCCCCCUGGGCAGUCAACACACCCAUGAAACAGAUCCAGAUAGAACCAACACAGCCAGCCAGCAGUCAGGCGCGGGCAAAGCUAGCUGUAGCAUGGUUGAUGGAUUGGGGGUGGAUCAAGGCGGCCACGAAACAGAGCGUAUCACAGUGCGGCAGAACCGGCUGGGCAGCUCGACUUGAGCAGAGGCGGCUCCAAGCAGAUGAACCCGCGGGGCAGUUUGACGCGCAGACGUUGAAGCAUGGUGGCAGAUCAGUGCACAUGUGAGGCGAGUGACUCGGCUCGCGGUACGGCGGUAAAAACACCCGGCCGGUUCAUCGGUGGAGAAAGCUUGCAGGUGGAGCAGUACAGAGGCAUAGGGCUGGUGGCCCUCAAGUAAGGCAAGGCCGCGCGGCCGAAGCGGCCCAUCGGCAGAAGCAUGCGAAUCGGUGGUUGAGGCGACUCGCGCAUUCCGUUGCUGGGUUGGUUGUUCUGCAAAAAUCCACGUCCGUCUCAUCUUCCGGGUCGUGGCCUGUUCCUCCUCUCUCUUUUUUUUAUGUGAACUAGCACAUUAGCAAACUCACGUGAGGGAUCUUUGGCGCAUAUGUCUUUGUCCUUCCCAUGUAGGAGUAAGCAGUAAUAUUAGUUUUUGAUUCUUGCGUAAGCAUUGGUGCUUGGUCCUUCACGUGGGGGCGGGGCUGUAGCUUCAGAGAUGUGACAUCGCUACUGUUGCAAGAUUCGCUUGAACUUUUGACAGGACCAAUGGAUGGACCACUCGGGGGUUGACCCUUGCCCACACACGCAUUUGUUGAUUGAUCGGAUUCAACGGAUCACUUUGCAUCGGCGGCGCACAGCAGAACUCCAAACCCUUGCGUCGGCGGCUUAUUCGCUACGGGCGACUCAUGGCCGCGGGCGUGAGCUUUGCGCGAGGGCGGCUCAAAGUGGAGAUGACCCGACAAUCCAGUGAGGUGAGUUGACGAAACGGCGGCCCGGGGUGCGGCCGUUGAUCGCAACAGAACUGUAGCGGGAGGCGAGGCCGCGUGUGAGGACGCACGCCCAGGGAGGCUGGACUCGUACCCAGUGACAGAUAGCAGCGGCGGCAAUCGAAGACAGGGCCACUUCGGCGAGAGGGAGAACAAAACCGGGGCGGUCCAACAGCGCACCAGUACGAGGUCGAGUCGGAGCUGAGGAACAGUGGGGCCGGCUUGGCGCGGCAACGAUGCACGUCCGAGGAAUCUCACGCCCAUUAACUUUCUCCAACGAGCCGUCGUUGACGUACGGCGCUGGUGAUUGGACCUGUUGCCAGCUUGACCCGGUGUUGCAAUCCUUGUCCAAACAUGCAUGCUCACGUGAAGCAGGGCAGGUUGCCUCCUCAAAAUCACUUUAUGCAAUCCGUAACAACGUAUAGUCUUGCCUUCAAGCAACAGUAGCAUAAUUGUUUAUUGGAAGUAGUACUACUCCGAGCAAGAGUAGCAAUAGUCUUUGGCAGAUCAAGUUAUGAAAGCACCCCGUAUUUUGACUCUUGCCCACACGCGCCUGUCGACGUAGAUUGAUCUGACGUGGUGUACGGCAGCUGGAGCACAAUUCCUGUCGGCCUCAAAAAAUUGAUCUUCUAUCCGGAUUUGACGGAUGGCGUUUCAUCGGCGAUACGCACAGGAACGCCAAACCCUAAAUUCCCUUGAACUCAAAACUCAUACUGGACAGUUGCAAACUUCUCGAUCCCUGGGAGCGAACCCUCCAAGAACUCAACACCACCGUGCGCAGGCCCCAUGGUGGGCGCCAACUAUCAUGGAAUUAACACGUCAGAUGUCCUAGGUGUAAGGACUUAGUCGUGAGGCCAACGCAUCUUUGUAGUAGCUUGAGAGGGGUUGAGCGGAAUCGAGAGACGCAACACAAGACAAGGAUUUAGAUAGCUUCGGGCCCCGGGAAACAUCAUCCGGUAACAACCCUACAUGCUGUUUGAGGCUAGGUCUCAUUAUGAUCAUGGGAGAGUUGCCGGGAACAGGCUCUCGGUCUCUAGCCAUAGAGAUUGUUUCUUGUUACCUUUUUUUCCUCUUGGGGAACCCUGCCCCUCCUUAUAUAAGUUAGAGGGGCGGGUUACAUGUGGAGUCCCAGUAGGACUACGACUAGUCUAUCAUCUCUUACAAGUUAAUUAUAAGUCCGGGUCUUGCUUCCUCGUAAAGGAAAUAUUCGUCAUCCCUUUCCUCUUAAUCCGGCCCAUCAUAACGUGAGCCGGCCUUCUGGGCCCUGGGCCUAGUCUUCUAUCUGACCCGUCGUCGGGGUCAUCCGUGAGUCGUCAGGCUCGUGAAUCGUCUGACAGUGAGCCGCCAGACCCGUGAGUCGCCAGUCCUCCGGCGGGUCACGGUGAAGCGCCAAGUCCGGCCGGGUCAUACUUCCGGCCGGGUCAUACCACGGGGUAUAUCCCCGACAGAUAGACUCUGAAACCACUCCGGUUAGAACGAGAUAAGAAACGAAUAAGACUUAAAUGAUUUAGGCAGCACUCCGGCUGAAACAAGGAAAGAAUAGAACAUGAACUUGAGAAAUGGAACGAUACUUGACUUGAGGAACAACACAAAACCUCCGGAAGACUUGAAAUAGUAGAAUGAGAAGAACGGGGAAGAACAAUGACAACUUCUACCAUGAAUGAAAUACAGAGCAUCCUUAGAAGGAAAUAUUGAUCGAAGUUGUUGGAAAUUCAACAACAAGAGAAUAAGCUUGUUGUGGACUUAUGGAUAACAUCUCAAGAUUAUGAGUUGAUAACCGACCACAAGCGAAAAAAAUUGAAUAGCUGAGAGGAACGAAGAAAUGCAAAACUCCACUUCAAAAGAAUUCGGAGGAUUAAUUGCACUUCGAUAUGCAAGACGAAAAAGAUACUUGAGCUACGCCUACAAGAAUCUUGAUGAACACUUGAAGAAUGAAUUAAAUCAUGACGAGCCACCAUGAUGACUCCGGUAACAAAAGAAUGACGAGAUAAAAUUCAAGGAUGAAAGGGAUAAGAUUAAAUCCUUGCGAUGUUUUGGAUGGAGGUUCGCGACGAAAUCGGCGAGAGGCUUAGGACUCCGGAAAAGAAAAGAUGAAAACACUUUGAACCGAGAAUGUGAUAAGAAGAACAACCUCCAAAACGAAGAGAUAAAACCACUUGAAGAAAGAAGAAUAAGGAUUACGUUAUGCUUAUCCUCCACCAACUAAAUUGAUGAGAUGCCAUGGAUUUGCAUACCACUUAUUCGCGUUGGAAAGAUUAAGGGGGGAUAUACCGCAAAACUUGAGAAAGUCUUCAUGAACCACCGGUAGGAUUUGGAAAGAACAAAUUAAUUGAUAUGAUAACAACAGAAAGAAUCUUGAAGGAGCCACCGUAGGAAUUGAAAUGAAUGACGAAAAGAGAAAGAAUCACCGGAAAGAAUUAGAAAAGCACGAAUAUACUUGAGGGAAUCAAGAUGCAAUUGAAAGAAGAGAUCGCGACCUGAUUGAAGCAUACUCGAACGAAGCACCGGAAGAAUAUGUAAACGAACGAAGGGGCACGAAUAUAGAAUAAUCGGAGAACGGAUUUGAAAACUUAGAACGAAGAAAUAUUCUGAAAUGGAGGCCUCCGGAUAAUUGAGACGGAAAACAAGUCCUGAGAUACUCCGGAUGGGUGAAAAUAAUUGCACGACUAGAAACAAUUUGAUAGGAUAACCAUCGAGCUAGCACCGCGAAUUUCUGGGAGAGCGGACAAGAUUUAAGAGAAAUUCUUCUUCGGACUUCAAUGUUGAGAAUGACGACGAGAAAGAACACCAAAAUUGUUGAGAUACUCUGGGAGAAUGAAAAGCGAAGAGGUUGAGCCAACAAUGAAAAUAAUUUGAAAUUGAUCUUGGAAAAGCGUCUGACUGAUGAAAUUCAUACUUACAUCAAACUUCGAAAAGGAUUUGAGAAUAGCUCCGGGAAAUUAGAAGAGUCAAGUAAGAUCCUGGGAAAAGACCUGUGGGUUAAGGCCCACUGAAGAGAAAUCACCGUUGAAAAAGGAUUGUUGAAGAGAUAGAUGAUGCACCGGAACAAUUGAAAUAUUUGAAUGAGGUGACAACCUCGAAUUAAUUCAAACACAGCCGAAUCUCCUGAGAUGUCUUCAUCACUCCGGAACGAUAAAAUGACGAGAGGGGAACGAGCAACGGAAAACAUUUGAGCCGAGGAAAGAAUAUAAUCACUACCGAAAAUUGGAAUUGAAUCCACCAGAGAAGAAAAGAGAUGAAGAAUGUCAAACGAGACGAGAAUUUACCCGUUGAAAUAAUUGAGGGAAGACUGAAGAUACUCCGCACGAAUGAAAUAGAUGCUCGAAUAGAGGCUCAGACUCCGGNNNNNNNNNNNNNNNNNNNNNNNNNNNNNNNNNNNNNNNNNNNNNNNNNNNNNNNNNNNNNNNNNNNNNNNNNNNNNNNNNNNNNNNNNNNNNNNNNNNNNNNNNNNNNNNNNNNNNNNNNNNNNNNNNNNNNNNNNNNNNNNNNNNNNNNNNNNNNNNNNNNNNNNNNNNNNNNNNNNNNNNNNNNNNNNNNNNNNNNNNNNNCUCAGACUCCGGGAAUAAAAAGGGUGGGAGGGCGGGAAAAACACAGGUAACUGGAACAACGAAUAAUUGAAUAGAGAAGCGCCGGUUGAAAUGAUUGAGGAGAAAAAACAAAAGCUUCGCACGAGUAGGAUGGAUACUCGAAUUUCGGACUCCGGCUCCGAGAAGAAAAGGGGUGGGCGGGUGGGAAAAAGAAAAACAACUGAGGACAGAGAAACAACCUCGUUGAGAGAGAACUGAGGAUUGAACUUGCAAAAACAAAGUGGUCGAAUCAACUUGACGAGAAAAUGCACCGGAUGAAAAGAGCUGAGAACCCACGAUCGAAAAACUAACCGCGUGAUCCUAAAAAAAGUUUGAAGGGGAAGAGGAGUAAUUCAAAACACCUACGUCAAGGUUUCUCACCAGAGCGACGAAGGGGCUGAGGAGUAAAAAGAAUUCCUAAUCUCCGAUAUAACUAGACUCAGAAAAAGUUUUCUUCUAGCCUCAACAACGGCCAAACUACACGAUCAAAACAAGGGGGGCUCCUAGGGUCGGUCGAGGCUCUGAUACCAACUUGUCACACCCAAGAUGCAACCCUAUCCUAAAGGAACUCGAAGGUCCCACCAAGGAUAGAAGCGCAUCUUGAAGACGCUUAUGCAAGGUGGAUAUCAUUACAUCAACAUUACAUAAUAGAUGGGGAUACAUACAAGGCAUACAAAUGCCGCAAGAAUACAUCAAUACAUAAACAAAAGAUCAACAUCCGACUACGGAUGAAACACAAACAUAAGCUCAAACGACAUCCACCCUGCUAGCCCAGGCUGCCGACCUGGAACCUAUCCCCUGAUCGAAGAAGAAGCAGAAGAAGGACUCCAAAACAGGUAACAUCGCUCUCGCGUCAUGAUCAUCGCAUAACUUGUACCUGCAACUGGUGAUGUAGUAAUCUGUGAGCCACGAGGACUCGGCAAUCCCAUUACCAUGGGUAUCAAGACUAGCAAAGCUUAAUGGGUAAGGAAGGGGGUAAAGUGGUGGGGGUUGCAGCAGCGGCUAAGCAAUGUAUGCUGGCUAACUUACGCGAAUAAGAGCGAGAAGAGAAGCAAUGGAACGGUCGUGAGACUAGCAACGAUCAAGAAGUGAUCCUGAACUCCUACUUACGUCAAACAUAACCCAGAAACCAUGUUCACUUCCCGGACUCCGCCGAGAAGAGACCAUCACGGCUACACACGCAGUUGAUGCGUUUUAAUUAAGGUCAAGUGUCAAGUUCUCUACAACCGGGUAUUAACGAAUUCCCAUCUGCCACAUAACCGCGGGCAUGGCUCUCGAAAGUUUAUACCCUGCGGGGGUGUCCCAACUUAGCCCAUUAUAAGCUCUCACGGUCAACGAAGGAUAUUCCUUCUCCCAGGAAGACCCGAUCAGUCUCGGAAUCCCGGUUACAAGACAUUUUGACAAUGGUAAAACAAGACCAGCAAAGCCGCCCGGAUGUGCCGACAAAUCCCGAUAGGAGCUGCACAUAUCUCGUUCUCAGGGCACACCGGAUGAGCCAGACGUCGGGUUGGCAUAGACCCUGGUUGCCCAGGGGGCGCCGGACAUCGCUCGGUUUGGACCAGCACUCGAAGGAGCACUGGCCCGGGGGGGUAAAUAAAGAUGACCCUCGGGCUCCGGAAACCCAAGAGAAAAAGGCUAGGUGAGGCAAAUGUAAAACCAAGGUUGGGCCUUGCUGGAGGAGUUUUAUUCAAAGCGAACUGUCAAGGGGAUCCCAUAAAUCACCCAACCGCGUAAGGGACGCAAAAUCAAGGAACAUAACACCGGUAUGACGGAAACUAGGGCGGCAAGAGUGGAACAAAACACCAGGCAUAAGGCCGAGCCUUCGACCCUUUACCAAGUAUAUAGAUGCAUUAAUUAAAUAAGAGAUAUUGUGAUAUCCCAACAUAAACUUAAUCCAACAUGGUGCAAUCUUCAUCUGCAACUGGCAACGCUAUAAGAGGGGCUGAGCAAAGCGGUGACAUAGCCAAACAACGGUUUGCUAGGAAGGGUGACAAAGGUUAGAGGAGGUUUCAUGGCAAUUUGGGCGGCUUGAAGAGCAAGUGAAUAGGUAGCGCAGCAAAGCGAUAGAACGAAGCAACUAGCAUAGCAAUGAUAGUAGUGAGAUCCAAGGUGACGGUCAUCUUGCCUGAAAUCCCGCUAGGAAGAAGAACGAGUCCAUGAAGAAGAUGAAGCCACGAUGACGAACGAAUCCUCACGAUCGCAACGACACGGAACUAUCGAGAAGGAGCACACAACAAGGUAAACACACAACACAUAACAAGGCAUGAUGCUCAACCAAGUAUGAUGCAUGACAAGGCUACAUGAAGCUACUCAUGACAAAAGAUGGUGCAUACAAGAACAACACAUCAAAGCAAGUUUAAAUGAGGCCGGAAACAACAUAUAACAAAUCCGGUAAGUCCUCAUAUGCAAAUUUCGAAAUUGGUCCAGAUCUGAAUAAACCUUAUGUUGAAGUUGUUAAAUAGCAAGUUAAAGAGCACCAUGAUGAUCUACACGAAAUUCUAGUCAAGUUUCAUAUAAAGUUCAUUAGAUUCGGAGCUACGGUUUAGAAGAUAUGAGCAAAACAAGUUAAACAUGGCAUUGAUGCAAAAUGCAUUCAAACAUCAAGCAAACACCUCAACACAAGGAUGCAACCAGAUAAUAUGGAACUACAUGCAAUUCUAAGCAAGUUACAUAUAGAGCACACCCCAAACGGAGCAACGGUGCAACACAUACACUCCAAACAAGAUAUAACAACAAUCUGUCCAAAACAGCAACUAGGCAUAGUGCAAGCAUCAUGAAAAUAUACUACCGCACCUCAACAUGAAACAAAUGACAUGGGCAUAAUGUACAUGUAAAGCAAAACAAAACAUGAACACUGAGCUAUCUCCAGAAACCACUAGAACAUGCUAAAAGGACAUGGCGAGAUUGCAAAUAAUAACAGUUUCACAGACUUAGCAGAAAUCACUGGGCAUGGCAGAAAUAACAUCAGGUUGCAAAGUUUGGAGCUAUCAAAAAACAUGCUACAUGAGCUUAUCAUGGCAAAUGAAAGCAUGGUAUGAUUAUACUCAAAGCAUAUAACAAAUGCCCCUUACUGAACAUGAGCCAAAAAGGCACAGAAGAUAUGAUGGCACCCAUGUAAACAUAGCAAGAUUCAUAAACAGAUUCAGACUUCGAAGAAAAAAACAGAGCAUGGCAGGAAUAACGAUAAGUAGGCAUGUUGGUGAGCUUGCACCACUCACCACAGAGCAAUACAUGGCAUGAAAAGGUAACUAGCAGUAAGAAGGCAUAAAUAUGAAGCUAAGAAUGGCAAUAGCAUAGUCAUAGGGUACAUGGAUCACUAGUAACAACCAUGGCAAAAUUGAUUAACAUGUAAGCAACCUGCCAGGAAUAUUUUAUAACAAAAGUAGAGCAAGAUUACAACAAUUUAAAGCAGGCUAUAAAUGCAAAAAAGGGCACGGAUGGAUAGGGCAUAACAUGUGUAACAAAACAUCCUUAGUGAACAUCUCCAGAUUAUGCAUAGGAUGACUUGUAGCAGCAGGUUUACAUGGCAACAAAAUAUAACAGACUCGGACAGCAGAAAUCACUGUCACAGAAAUCAGCAACAUCACGGAGGCUACUUUGCAUGCUUGUGCUAGUUACCACAUCGAUCAAAAAAAUACAAGCCAAGCACCACUUUAAAGGUGGCAUGAUGUAGAACAAAACACAUGUAGAGCUCAUGCUCAUAGGAUGCACACACAAAAUGCAAUGAAAACGACAAAUCACCAAGUUCUGAUAACAGACAGCAGUUAACAGCAUAUAGCACUCUUGCAACGAUGAUUAGGGCAUCAAGAUGAUCUCUAAUGAAUAUGACCCAAUGGAACAAAAUGAAGAGAAUCGCAUGGUGAACAUUUUGAUAUAUUAUAUGCAUGAAUUGGAGCACCGAGCACGAAGUUAUGAUAUGGCAAAUAUGGCAACAUGAGAUGAAAGUCCUGGGACUUGGAGAGAUUUUUACCCCGCGAAAGACUAGACGAGGGGAUGCGGGACGGAGGGAUCCGGGACGGGCGGAGGCGCGUUUGGAUCACGGGACGGGUGGAUCUCGUCCACCCGCCCGGAUCUGGCGACGAGGCGACGCCGGCGAAGCUCCGGUGAGCUCCGGCGAACGGGGACGGCCGGCAGGGGCGGAUCUGGCCCCGGGGCGGCCGAAUCCGGGCGCGGGGAGGCGAUGCGGGCGCCGGGGCUCGCGGAACGGGCGGCGGCGAAGGGCGGCGGGGGCGCGCCGGCGGGAGGAGCUNNNNNNNNNNNNNNNNNNNNNNNNNNNNNNNNNNNNNNNNNNNNNNNNNNNNNNNNNNNNNNNNNNNNNNNNNNNNNNNNNNNNNNNNNNNNNNNNNNNNNNNNNNNNNNNNNNNNNNNNNNNNNNNNNNNNNNNNNNNNNNNNNNNNNNNNNNNNNNNNNNNNNNNNNNNNNNNNNNNNNNNNNNNNNNNNNNNNNNNNNNNNNNNNNNNNNNNNNNNNNNNNNNNNNNNNNNNNNNNNNNNNNNNNNNNNNNNNNNNNNNNNNNNNNNNNNNNNNNNNNNNNNNNNNNNNNNNNNNNNNNNNNNNNNNNNNNNNNNNNNNNNNNNNNNNNNNNNNNNNNNNNNNNNNNNNNNNNNNNNNNNNNNNNNNNNNNNNNNNNNNNNNNNNNNNNNNNNNNNNNNNNNNNNNNNNNNNNNNNNNNNNNNNNNNNNNNNNNNNNNNNNNNNNNNNNNGGGCUGACGGCGGCGGGCGGAGGAGGAGGCCACGUGGCGCGAUGUGGUUGGCUGCGGGCGCGGCGGGAUCUGUCCGACGCGGGGCGGACAUGUCCGGCGGCAAGAGGGAGGGGAAGGCUAGGGUUCAUCCGCGAAAUUUCGGGGGGAGGUGCAAAUAUAUAGGCAGAGGGAGCUAGGAGAGUCCAAACGGGGUGCGGUUUUCGCCCACAUGAUCGUGAUCGAACGACCGAGAGCAUGGAGGGGAGUUUGCUGGGUUAGUGGGCUGAUUUGGAAGGGUGUUGGGCUGCAAAGAGAGAGGGGUUUCGGGCUACGCGGUUAACCGCUGGGGCAUCAAACGAACUCCAAAUGGAACGAAAUUUGACGGGCGGUCUACCGGUGCUAUACCAAGGCCACUCAGCAAAUCUCGGCCCAUUCCGAGAACAUUUUUCUCCCACUCACGAAACAAGGUCUGAGAGGGGCGACGGGCGCGUGCGAGAGUGUCGGAUCGCGAAACGGACAACGGGGAAAAGGACCGGAUGCAAGUUUUGAAAAAACAUGAUGAUGCAAUGCAGAUGAUGACAUGGCAAAAUGCAACACCAAGCACACGACAUGGCAAGGACGGCGAAUAACUGGCAGACACCUGGCGCAUCGGAUCCGGGGCGUUACAACAUACUAAUGGAAACGUAUUCCUUGGAUUGACUGUGUGGAAUGUACAUACGAACGAAAACGUUUAGCGGGGACUGACUAUGUGGGAUGUACUUACGACCGGAAACGAUUUGGCUUGUAUAAUUGUAUUUUUUUUACUAUGAACGACAGUGGGAGAGGCUCCCACUGACUUUGUAUUACUCACAAACCAGUUACAUCAGGUGUUACAGGUGGGUAUUUAGUGGCCCCCCGGCCAUAGCCUUAAACUAAACAAACGGUUCACAGGCCUUGUAUAUAAGUGGUUAAGAAGGGGCGCAGCCCCUCUUUACAAUUGUGCACAAGAAGACCCAACAGGUCUUUGAAUCUAGCCAGCCAUGAACGGAAAGAAUGUGGGACCCCUCUGAAGUGCUCAUUGUUCCUCUCUAUCCACAAGCUCCAAGCAGCCAUCAAGAAAAUGUCCAUAAAAAGUGGACGGCUCUAAUUCCCCUUUCCAUCGUGCAGCAAUGCAAGUCUGUUCCCCGACGCCGGCCAUCGCAUGCCAACCUUCUCCCAACAGUUCUGGCUAAAGGGGCACAGGAAAAUGAGGUGCUCGAUGGUUUCCUCCGGAGGGUUUUGGCAAAGCAAGCAAGCGUAGUUGUUGUCUGCAACAACAUAGUGCCUACGUCUCAGCAUGCCUCUCGUGUUUAAGCGGUCCACAAGCAGCAACCACCCAAACAUUUUGAAUUUGAUUGGACUUCUAGCCUUCCAAAGUCAGGAGAAGGCAGCGUCAGCAGUCGUCUCUCUGAAGCAGUGGUCAUGGAAUUUCUUGGAGGAGAAGCCACCCCCAAGAUUGCAUUCCUAGGUGUCCUUGCAACCCCUUUCCAGGAUCACAUGCAUCGAUCUUUGCUGGAUCGCUCUGACUUCAUCUCUGGCCUGAGCAGACAGGGGCAGAUGGAAGAGGACGCCUGGGUCCGUAGCAAUGAGAACAUUAGCCACAGAUUCAUCCUCAUUCAGGAAGAAGGAGAACGCCCUAGGGUAAAGAUCCGCGAGGGGGCAUUUUUUUCAUCGACAAACCAUGCGUCUUUCCAGAAGAGCGAGGAGGACCCGUCCUCAAGGGUGACACUGGUGAUCCCUCGAAAAACAUCGGUGAGUUGCAUGACAUCAAGCCACCAGAAAGAGCCAACAGGGACAACUGUGUGCGGGACUUUGCCCGAGUAAUAUGUAUCCCAGAUCAAGUUCACCCAUGGUACAUCCUCGUGGUUGUAGAACUUAAACAGGUGCUUAAGCAAGAGGGCCAUGUUUUGUGUUUUUAUGUCAAUGACUCCCAGGCCUCCUUUGCGUUUUGGCCUACAGACCAACUCCCAAGCUGCCAACGAGUUAUUUUUGACCCCAUCAUCAGAAUUCUUGGCACAGAGACAGUAUCUUCGCAAUUUAUCGAGGUGCUCAAUCACCUUAGGGUGUAACUUGAUAGUGCACAUGGCAUAGAUGAUCAUCAAUGUAACAGCAGAGUUGACCAGGGUAAGUUUGGCUCCUGACGACAUGAGGGACAGUGAUGUGGACAUCUUCCUCUCCACACCAUGUACUAGCGGCAUGAGGUCGAGCAGAUUUGGCCUCGUUGUACCCAUCAGGAGACCCAGGUAGGUGAACGGAAGCGAGCCAACUGAGCAACCAAACACCGGCGCCAGAUCCAUAGCGCGUCGGUUGUCUAUGUUGAUGGGAAUCAACGUUGAUUUAUGGAAGUUGAUUUUUAGUCCAACCGAGGCCGCAUAAUCCUCGAGGAUGAGUUUCAUACUAGCAGCUUGUUUAGGGCAGGCAGGCAUCACCAGAAUAGUGUCGUCGGUGUACUGAACCACUGGAAAGUCACCAUUAUGGUUGCAAGGAAUUGGUAGGUCAAUCAGGCGUCGACGAAAAGCAUCAUUAAUGGCAGCUUGGAGGAGGUCCGCAGCGAGGACAAAAAUCAGAGGUGAAAGAGGAUCUCCUUGACGCACCCCACACUUGCACUGAAAUUUUCUGCCGGGAACUCCAUUAAGGAGGACCGAAGGGACACCAGAACCGAAUAUAGUUUCCAUCCAUCCCAGCCAUUUGUCAUCAAAACCCAUAUGUCGCAUGAUCUCUAGCAUGGGGGCAUGUUCAAUUGUGUCGAAAGCUUUCGCGAAAUCAAGUUUAAGAAGUAUGAUCUCAUGCGAGGAAGCCUGACAUUGAUGGAUAUAUUCGAAUGUCCAAGUCAAACAGUCUUGGAUGGUCCUCCCCUUAAUGAAGCCGUACUGGUUCCUGUGAAUGAUUUUCAGAAUAACUUUCUCCACGCGGUUAGCCAAAAUUUUGGUGACUAUUUUCAGGCAGCAGUUAAGCAGAGUUCUAGGUCUGUAGUCAUUAGCAGUCUUAGGAGAAGAAAUUUGCGGGAUCAAGGUAAUGUAUCCUUCACUGAUACUGGUGAUAUCAAGAUUACCUUCAUGAAAGUCUCGGCACAUCUUGUAGAAAUCUUCUUUGAUGAUCUGCCAGCAACUCUUAAGAAAGCAACCGUUGAAACCAUCCGGACCAGGGGCCCUGUCAGCCGGCAUUUCUUUAACCGCUGCAUCAAUUUCCUCAUUCGAGAAGGGGGCUGAUAAAUCAGCUAAACCAUCAAUCCUCUUAAUGAUUCGUGCGAGGUCAUAUCGCAUAUUAGAGGGCUUAGAAGAACCCAAGCGUUCUUUAUAGGCUUUGUACAAAACCCCUUCUUUGCCAACAUGAUCACUGACCACAAUAUCUCCAUCGCGUAAGCUUGCAAUAGAAUUGUGUCUGUACCUCUCGGUUGCAAGAGAUUGAAAUAGCUUAGUGUUUUCGUCAGCAAAUCUGAAGUAACGGAUGGUGCAUUUCUUCCUCCAGUAUUCAUUCUGAUAUUUAAGCAGAGUAUUCAGACGCAGCUUCAAAAUAUGCCUGAAAUUUGUUUCUUGGACGAAGAGUGGUCGCUUGUCUUCAAGAUCAUCAAGAUGGGUAAGAGCCUCAUUACUAUUAUGGACCAUGGUUUUCAUGGCCGAGAGCCCUCGACUCCAGUGCUUGAGAUCAUAUCGCAGCAACUUGAGCUUUUUGCAGAUAAGCGCGGCAGAAUUAGGAGCAUGACACGGCUUGGACCAAGAACCAGCAACUACGUCAUGAAAGCCCGUGUGAUUGACCCAGAAGUUUUCAAAACGAAACAAUUUAGACUUUGGGAUUUUGGACUCUAUGGCCACCACACACGGGAUAUGAUCAGAGACAGGUUUGCCGAGCGGUAGGACCAGCGUGUUUGGGAAAUCAGUCGUCCAAUUGGAAGAGGAGAAAAACCAGUCAAGUUGCUCAAGCAAAGGAUCAUCCUGCAUAUUGCUCCAAGUGAAUCUACCCUUGACAGGGAUUUCCAUCCAAGAUUGUGCUCUGAUUUAUUCAUUAAAAAGGAGCAUGUCAGCGGCAUCUCCACCUGGUUUGUUUCUAUUCAACGUGGAACGAAUGAAAUUAAAAUCGCCCAGACUCAACCAAUUUUCGUCAUCAGGGAUAUUAAGAUCAGACAACCAUGAGGUAAAAUCCACCCUUCUCUGACCAGAGCAGGGUCCAUAAACAUUGACCAGGUUCCAAGCUUCAUCGGACUGCGUGGCAACAAAGGAUACCCCCACAGCAAAAGAUUCAACGUGCCAAGGUGUGCCCACAAAUACAGAACUAUUCCAGAUAGUAAUAAUCCCACAGAAGCGCCUAAAGAGGGAGCAAACACAAAUUUAUCAAAUCAUUUAGGGCAGAAGGUUUUAAUAAAAGCUAAAUCAAAAGCUUCACGCUUGGUCUCUUGGAUACAAAGCAUAGAACAACCACUAGAAUCAAUAGUGUUUCUAAGAGCCAAAAGCUUGCUAUCAGAGUUUAUGCCCCUGAUAUUCCAUGAUAACACAUUCCACGAUUUAUCCAUUGCCGAAGAGAAGAUCAGUUUCCUCCGUCAGGAGCCGAGUGCUGGCCAUCCAGCAGCUUCUCAGUAGAUAACUCUUCAGGAGGGAUCCCGCAUCGGCCACCCAGCUGUUGGAGUUCCUCAAUGGAAGUAGGGGGCGGGCAAGAUGCAGUAUCAGCUUGCACAGGAGCAGCCGCCGUAGAGAUGGCUCUGACAGAAGGCACCACGCGAGCACACACCCUGGAUCUGGCUUGCUUGGCGUCAGAAACUUGGUUGAUCUUGAAACCAUCAUAUUUGUUUGAUCUAGUGCUCCUUCUAACCACGGUGGUGUCCAGCGGUAUCUUGGCAUUGCGUGAGGCACCUGGCAUAAACUGAGACGAGGAGGCAAUCAACUGAAGUGCAGUCCCUUGGUUAGGCAAAGUAUCUGAAACAGAAGCGGGUUGGGCACGAGCAGAGUCAUUAGCAAGAUGCAUAGAAAUGGCUUUAAGACCAGGCGAUUGGCUCUCUAGUUCCCAAUCAACAGCAGCAACAUUAGAGAUGUCGAAAUUGUCCACAAGCAGCAGGUUACGCGGGAUUAGAUGAGCUCCCACCUGAAAAUUAGUGGAGAAAGUCACUGACAUAAAAUCAGGUUCAGGUGCAACACUCAGCAUCCAGGCAGCACAAACCAAAUUCAGUUGGCACUGAAUUUCCCUAAAUGGAUUAAGAGGAAACAUGACCUGCUCAGGUUGAGCAUUGGUAAGGGCCGGUGUGUAUAUGCACUUGAGCAUGCCUCCAAUCCAGAGCAGAAAUUCAGAGUCAAGCGCUACAGUGAGACUGAUCGAAUUGCCCCCAGCUCUGACAAACGCCAACCGAGCAACCGGAUUCCCAAGAACAAAGCUUUCAGCAAGGGCUUCAACUGCAUCAAUUUCUCCCUCAGAAGACCACACGUCAGACAAGUUGUCCUGAACAUUGUGCUCCGAGUUCACACCAUCCAUCAGAGACGGCCCAUCAUAUUGGAAAAAGGAUCUGAAGCUGAAACCAGAGUAGAGGGGAGGAACCACUAGCCACAUGCGCCAGCCAUUUUCCUGAAUCUGUUCGUUAGCAGGUGCAGGCGCAUUCCAUGCAGCUUCAUUCAGAGCCUCCUGUGCAGCCAUCUCAUCAAUCCUGGCCUGUUGCAUGACAGUGUAGUAGGGGAGCUCAUACGGGUGUGGUGAUGCAUUAAGAAGCGGAGGAGCUUCCUCCGUUCCCAUCAGACCUGGGAUGAUAUUUCUGCCAUUAAGAACAUACACCGGAACUGACCAAGAGCGGCCAAGACCCGGCAACAUUCCGACUCUGGUGACCAAGAGGCUGUGUGGCACUUCAGCAACAUCUUUGAUAUGACACUUUACCAAAACACGAGCCUUGUUCUGACCCGGGCGUGGCCAGACAAGGAGUUUACCAAAGUUAGAGACAGCCUUGUUAACAUAGUGGUCAGUCUGAUAAUCCAUGGGGAACGCAAGGAACAUGAUCCAAACUUCAUACUCAAAAGCGGGCAUGCGCAUAUUGAUGCUCUCAUCAUGCGGGACUAGCGAGAAGGUAGAGUCAUCAGUCAGGGCGUGAGGCCCUUCCCUAAUCGCAGCAUCCCUACUCUUCAUGUCCGCGAAAACCACGCAACCAAUACCAAGCGGAUAAAUGAAAUCAUCAAGCAAGUCAUACUCCAGAUCCACAGUGAUGAUGCGGCAAACCUCGGCAAGCCAGAACUCCUUCUGAUGAUCAGGAACAGGAGGAUCGACAGAGACUACGGCAUACCUGUCAUGGUUGAGCGGUCGGUCAUCCACCACCAUGACUUGGCGUUGGACGUGAUGAGCAGGGCCGCGGUCGAACGUCGAACCCGGCGGAGCAAAAUCGAAAGGGCGCACCGGAAAGUUCGCCAUUGACGCCGAUGAAGGGGAACGGAGAAGUGGAGGAGGCGCAGCCGGCGAUGAAGAACAGACCGUGGUUUUUUGCAAGGGUAGAAGUGGCAGGGGUGGCAGACUCGAGGAGGACAUCGCCGCACUCGAUUGGGGUUUUUGGCAGGUGGAAUUGACUACCCCUGGACGAGGGAGUCGUAUCGUCGAGCAAUGGGAAGGUGCCAUGUCUGGGGGGCGGGGGAUCUUCUGUUUCCGAGUCCAAACCAUAUGCGCUCGCGAAUCCCGCUUAGUACGGGCCAUACCAACAACCAUAGAAUUACCCACCAUAGAGGAUUUUGGUGUACUGUUGGGCAAGAUUACAUUGGAUUUAGAUGCAUGCGGUUUGAUCGGUAUCCAGCAUAGCUUGGGCAUAUUGUGACAUAAGAUGGGCUUAUGGGCUCUAUGGCCGACCUGGUGACAGAACGGACACCUGUGAAGCCCAGGACAAUUGACAGAUCGGUGCCCCACGGAUCGACAUACCAAACAAGUCAUGGGUGAGGAACGGCCCAGUAUGCAUGGCUCAUGACGUGGAGAGGGUAAAGGGGCUUGAUCAGCCCCUGAUGAGGCCAUAUUCUCCAAACAUAAACAUUUCCCAGUACUAUCCCCACAAUGUUGACAGAAGAGGCCCGUGCAAAUUGCCGGCGGAUGGCCAAAACGAUCACAAAGAGAACAGUGCUUAAGCCUUCUGUAUAUGUAUUCCUUCAUUGGUAUUGAGCAAAGAUCCACCAUUAACUUAACGCACUCAUCAUCAUAACCAGCUUGCCAACCAUCUAGGAUAUGGUAAAGGGUAUCAUCCGGAAUAGAAUCCCAUAUACCUUGCUUGAACAGAUGUCCCUGAAAAGAUGGCAACUUAUCUGUCAAAGCGGAAGGAAUUGGUACGUUGACAGUCCCAAUACGAAAGAGAUCCUGAUUUUCCGAAGAAACCGGAACCGUAAACCUGCCCAAAGAGAUCUCCGAUGAGGAACUGACGCCGGAAUAUCCCUCUGUCGGCGUUGAAGUCAAUCCCAAGUUCGCAAAGACCAAUAGUGAGGCCGGAUCAAUGUCAUCAAUGGAUUUGGAUGAAAGCCAUUUUGAUUUGAUUGCCGGGCCAGGUGAUGAAGCCAGAUCAUUGAUUUCAGUGUCUGCAUUCCAGCCAUGGGAUCGGUGGCGAGGCAUUACUCCUCGGUGGAGAUGAAAAUGACAGAUGAAGUCCGGACAAAUACGAUCCCGUAAGCCAUAAAUAAAAUUACCCACACGAUUAGAUGGCACCGAGAACCAAAAACGCCGAUCACCCAAACGGAUCACCUUAAAACCUUCACUGAUUCCACCAAUGCAAGACUGGAGAGCCAAACCCACUGAAUUCACCGAGAGAGGAAAGGAGGCGGAGGAAAAAGAAACUUCAAUGAAGAAUUCCUUGGAGUUGGGGUUGGGGACGAAAUGAACCGUAGAUCCAAAUCGUGCACGCACCUGGCCCUCGACCUUGAGGCCGGGGGAGAAAUCCCAAUGGAGGAGGCCGUCCAUUGGGGUCGCCGGAGAUGGAGACUAGGGCAGGGUGCCAAAGUCGCCAUGAGAGUCGCCAUGGGAGGGUGGAGGGGUAUAAUUGUAUUUUUUAGCACAACUAUACAUAUAACCGUAUUUGAUCGCUCGCCCGUUGCUCAUGACCUCAAUUUGCCGAGCAUGUGUGCCAGGAGGCCUAUCCCCGGCGGUUUCUGGGUCGUGUGGGAAGGACCCCCUUAUCGCAGUCACUCACUUGGUGACGGUUCGAAAUGCCGUCGCGGAAAGGGGUUAAAAACCGUUUGUAUAGCACCUCGUUCUACCAGUGUGACAUACCUUGGGUUGUGGUGUUGAUCUUGCUCAUGUAGUCGAACUUGUGUUGGAUGCUCAAGGUUGAUGUAGUUCAUCAAGAGUUGGGAGCACCACUUGGAUUUUGAUUUCAUCUUCCUACAUGGGUUAGUCUUGCAAGGAGUAACACUUGUGUAUCCAAAUGACAAACAUGAAACAUGAUACUAAGUGAAACUUGAUAUAUUUAAAUUGUCAAAGGAUAUGUUGAGUGAGUUCAUGCUUCCUUGUAUUCAACAACCAUAUAGUAGGGACUUGGUGAUGUAGAGAUUUCUCAAAAUGUGAGUGACUUGCAGUCUCAUAGAUUUAGGUUCAUCCAAGUACCUACAAGGGUUAGCUAAAAUGCAAGGGUACAAGUAUAGAUCCAAGACAUAUGAUCAUCAUCAUAAGAGAAAUAUCAAGGAUUAGUCAUAAAAGGCUCAUGCCUUGCAUGUAUCCAAAUGGAGCUUCUACUCCAACUUUGAGGCAUCAAUGAUAUUCAAUUCACCUCUCAAACGGAAAAAAAUUCUCAUCAAGCGGUUUAGUGAAUAUAUCCGCCAAUUGCUUAUCAAUACGCACAUGCUUAAGAUUGAUGUCUCCUUUAGCAACAUGAUCUCAAAUGAAAUGAUGACGAACUUCAAUAUGCUUAGUUCAAGAAUGUUGCACGGGAUUGUGAGCAAUCUUAGUAGCACUUUCAUUAUCACAAAGCAAUGGAACAUGUUUCACAUGUAUCCCAUAAUACUUAAGGGUUUGGGUCAUCCAAAGUAAUUGAGCACAGCACAAUCCGGCAGUAAUAUAUUCCGCUUCGGCAGUAGAUAAGGAUACCGAGUUUUGUUUCUUGGAGGACCAAGGGACAGGGGAUCUACCAAGAAAUUGACAAGUACCCGAAGUGGACUUUCUGUCAACCUUGUCAUCGGCAUAGUCUGAAUGAGAGUAGCCGACAAGAUCAAAAGAUGACCUCUUUGGAUACCAAAUGCCAAAGUUUGGUGUAUGAAUUAAAUAUCUCACUAUCCUUUUCACGGCCUUAAGAUGACAUUCUUUAGGGGCCACUUGAUAUCGUGCACACAUGCACACACUUAGCAUAAUAUCGGGACGGGAGGCACAUAGAUAUAACAAUGAACCAAUCAUAGAGCGGUAAUCUUUUUGGUCAACUAGUUUGCCAUCCUUAGUAAAGUCAAGAUGUCCACUAGUAGGCAUGGUUGUUUUCAUACCUUUGAUUUCUUGCAUGUUGAACUUCUUGAAAAGAUCCUUGGUAUACUUUGUUUGAGAAACAAAGGUACCUUCCUUAGUUUGCUUGAUUUGCAAUCCAAGGAAAAAUUUGAGUUCACUCAUCAUAGACAUCUCAAACUUCUCCGACAUUAGCCUUCCAAACUUUUCACUAAAAUGGGGGUUAGUAGAACCAAAUAUGAUAUCAUCCACAUAAAUUUGGCACACAAAUAAUUCACCAUUAACCCUUUUAGUAAAAAGUGUAGAAUCAAUCUUCCCGAUUUCAAAGCCUUUUUCAAUAAGGAACUUGGUCAGGUAUUUAUACCAUGCUCUAGGAUCUUGUUUAAGACCAUAAAGAGCUUUAUGAAGUUUGUAAACAUGAUUAGGUUUCUUGGGAUUGACAAAUCCAGGAGGUUGUUUAACAUACACUUCCUCUUCAAUUUCUCCAUUAAGAAAAGCACUUUUGAUGUCCAUUUGGUAUAAGGUGAUAUCAUGGUGAUUGGCAUAAGCAAGUAAGAUGUGUAUGGACUCAAGUCUAGCAACGGGGGCAUAUGUCUCACCAUAGUCCAUACCUUCAAAUUUAGUGUAGCCUUGAGUGACGAGACGGGCCUUGUUGCGUACAACUUGUCCAUCUUCAUCUUGCUUAUUUCGAAACACCCAUUUGGUUCCAAUGACAUUAUGAAUUUCAUCGGUUUUUUCAACCAAUGUCCACACUGGAUUCCUCUCGAAGUUGUGUAGCUCUUCGUGCAUAGCAUUGACCCAAUACGGAUCCUCAAGAGCUUCUUCAACCUUCAUAGGUUCAAUACUAGAAAUGAAUGAGUAGUGUUCAAAAAAGUUAGCUAAACGAGUUUUAGAGCGAGUGAUUCUCCUGGUUUGAAUAUCAUCAAGGAUUUGUUCGACGGGGUGGUCUCUUGAUUUAACUCGUGAGAGCUUUUGUUUGGGUUGAGGUGGAACAUCCUCUUCAUUGUCUUCUUCUUCCUCUCUUUCUUCAUUGUUGUUGGUGUUGUCGUUCUCUUGUGGACGUGGAGAGGGAGGUCGAGGUGGUUCUUCUUGUUGUACUUCCUCAUUUCCUCUAUCUUGACGAGUUCCACUUGUAUAUGCCUCCAAGUCAACUUGUAGUUCACCUUGAUGUGAAAUUGAGGCUUCCACUUGGACGGAUGAAGUGCUCUCCUUCACCUCCAUUGGGCGAACCUAGCCAAUGGACAAAUCUUGGAUUGCUUCCGAAGGAUCUUUGUCUCCUACAUCAAUUGGCAAUUGCUCUACUUGCGAGUCGUUAGAUUCAUCAAACUUCACAUAUACCAUCUCUUCAACCUUUCAGGUGAAAUUGUUGUAGACACGGUAAGUGUGAGAAUUUGAGCCAUAACCGAGUAGGAAACCUUCAUGAGAUUUAGGAGCAAACAUCGAGUGACGAUGCUUAUCAAGAAUGUAACACUUUGAGCCAAAUACUCGAAAGUAUCCAACUUGGGGUUUGUUACCUGUGAGAAGCUCGUAUGCCAUUUUGCCGAGAACCUUGUGAAGAUAUAGUCGAUUUGUAG
rnacentral:lncRNA from 1 species